UACGUAGGGUGCAGGCGUUAAUCGGAAUUACUGGGCGCAAAGCGUGCGCAGGCGGUUUGUUAAGACAGAUGUGAAAUCCCCGGGCUUAACCUGGGAACUGCGUUUGUAACUGGCAAGCUAGAGUGUGGCAGAGGGGGGUGGAAUUCCAAGUGUAGCAGUGAAAUGCGUAGAUAUUUGGAGGAACACCAAUGGCGAAGGCAGCCCCCUGGGUUAACACUGACGCUCAUGCACGAAAGCGUGGGGAGCAAACAGG
rnacentral:rRNA from 1 species